UAACUCCAUGUGUCGCAUGCUCCUGUGUUAUCAGCAUUCUAUGUACAACUCUGCUAUCAUCGUGCUUGUAUGGUGUGUGUUGUCCGCACAUGAAUGUUUGAUCCCGACCGCGAAAGUAUGUGAACUAACGAGAACCAGAACAGCUGACAAAUACAACAAGAUUAGGAUUCCAAGUACACAAAUUCUCAUUUAUUUUACAAAAAAAAGUUAUUUAACAAAAAUCUACAUUGAACAAUAAAUCGUCUUGUUAUUAUACCAACAAAAUUAUUAAUCAUGAAAUUAUUAUUUCGUAUUUUGAUUUUGUUAUUUAUAAUUUUAUCAUCAUUAUUUACAAGCUGGCAGCUCUGUGGUGGACACCAGGGGGCGGCGGCUCUGCGGCAGGCACCAGCCGGCGACGCCUCUGCGGUGGUGGGCACCAGGCGGCGACGGCUCUGCGCUGGUGGACACCAGGCGGCGACGCCUCUGCGGUGGUGGACACCAGGCGGCGACGACUCUGCGGUGAUGGGCACCAGGUGGCGACGGUGUAGGCUGCUUUGUGGCGGCGGCGGUGUGGGCUGCUCUGUGAGGUGGAGGUCGUCCGUCGGUGGAUCACAGAAUCUGCGCUCUCCUGCAGGGUGUGCCCUGAAAACUGGCGACGUGCACGAAAAAAAAAGACAAAAGGACCAAAGACGACAGAAGGACAGACAAACUUUCACUCGCAACUAUUACACACUGCGUUCUCAUGUGAGCGUACGUUCGUGAGGCUUGCUAUAUGCAGUUUAAUAAGACCAUAGCGAUAUAUAUUUCCUACCCAGACCUAGCCGCCCGGCUGUCCAAAUAUUCGUUAAUAAUUUCGAUAUUGUCUAUGUGACAAUACGCCCGAAAUCUGUCCAUGUUUUUUGUGACCGAGUACGGUGGUAAGUAUUUGUCAAAGAACCCAUGAUUGAUAUGAAAACCUAGAGAACCUUGUCAUUUGAUCCAAGCAAAAGAGUUUCGAUAUGUUGGCUGCAAAAUGCGUCUGUAUAUGUUUUGACAUCACCGAAAAGCUGGCUAUCAUUGUAAUGACAGAACAACCCCAUGUUGUACUGCCAGGACAGCCAUAGAGAAAUUUGAAGUCCUAAAAAUGCGUUUUCGUUAUUGAAGUCAAUUCCGCGCUUUGAAACAUUUAUUCAACUAUCCCUUCAGGAUGCCAGAGUUUACAGUAUCUGGCUUUCAGA